GCUGGGCACAGUGGUGCAUACCUGUAAUCCCAGCAGCUGGGAGGCUGAGGCAGGAGAAUCUUGAGUUCAAAGCCAGCUUCAGCAAACAGGCACUAAGCAACUCAGUGAGACCCUGUCUCUA
rnacentral:sRNA from 1 species